UACGUAGGUGGCGAGCGUUGUCCGGAAUUACUGGGCGUAAAGGAUGCGUAGGCGGAUACUUAAGUCAGAUGUGAAAAUCCCGGGCUUAACUUGGGAACUGCAUUUGAAACUGGGUGUCUAGAGUGCGGGAGAGGAAAGUGGAAUUCCUAGUGUAGCGGUGAAAUGCGUAGAGAUUAGGAAGAACACCAGUGGCGAAGGCGACUUUCUGGACCGUAACUGACGCUGAGGCAUGAAAGCGUGGGUAGCAAACAGGAUUAGAUACC
rnacentral:rRNA from 1 species